UAAAGUGUUUAUAGUGCAGGUAC
rnacentral:miRNA from 1 species